rnacentral:rRNA from 1 species
GAUGAACGCUAGCGGGAGGCCUAACACAUGCAAGCCGAGCGGUAUUGUUUCUUCGGAAAUGAGAGAGCGGCGUACGGGUGCUGAACACGUGUGCAACCUGCCUUUAUCUGGGGGAUAGCCUUUCGAAAGGAAGAUUAAUACUCCAUAACAUAUUGAUUGGCAUCAAUUAAUAUUGAAAGCUCCGGCGGAUAGAGAUGGGCACGCGCAAGGUUAGCUAGUUGGUGAGGUAACGGCUCACCAAGGCAAUGAUCUUUAGGGGGCCUGAGAGGGUGGUCCCCCACACUGGUACUGAGACACGGACCAGACUCCUACGGGAGGCAGCAGUGAGGAAUAUUGGUCAAUGGGUGCAAGCUUGAACCAGCCAUCCCGCGUGAAGGACGACUGCCCUAUGGGUUGUAAACUUCUUUUGUAUAGGGAUAAACCUACCCUCGUGAGGGUAGCUGAAGGUACUAUACGAAUAAGCACCGGCUAACUCCGUGCCAGCCGCCGCUGUAAUAC